rnacentral:tRNA from 1 species
GGAGAUAUAGCUUAAUGGUAGAGUACUUGCCUAGCAUGCUUGAGUCCCUGGCUUCAAUCUCCAGUACCACCA